GACGAACGCUGGCGGCGUGCUUAACACAUGCAAGUCGAACGGAAAGGCCCUGCUUUUGUGGGGUGCUCGAGUGGCGAACGGGUGAGUAACACGUGAGUAACCUGCCCUUGACUUUGGGAUAACUUCAGGAAACUGGGGCUAAUACCGGAUAGGAGCUACUGCUGAAUGGUGGGGGUUGGAAAGUUUCGGCGGGUGGGGAUGGACUCGCGGCUUAUCAGCUUGUUGGUGGGGUAGUGGCUUACCAAGGCUUUGACGGGUAGCCGGCCUGAGAGGGUGACCGGCCACAUUGGAACUGAGAUACGGCCCGGACUCCUACGGGAGGCAGCAGUGGGGAAGAUUGCACAAUGGGCUGAAGCCUGAUGCAGCAACGCCGCGUGCGGGAUAACGGCCUUCGGGUUGUAAACCGCUUUCGCCUGUGACGAAGCGUGAGUGACGGUAAUGGGUAAAGAAGCACCGGCUAACUACGUG
rnacentral:rRNA from 1 species